GUGGGGAAUAUUGGACAAUGGGCGAAAGCCUGAUCCAGCCAUGCCGCGUGUGUGAAGAAGGUCUUCGGAUUGUAAAGCACUUUAAGUUGGGAGGAAGGGCAGUAAGUUAAUACCUUGCUGUUUUGACGUUACCGACAGAAUAAGCACCGGCUAACUUCGUGCCAGCAGCCGCGGUAAUACGAAGGGUGCAAGCGUUAAUCGGAAUUACUGGGCGUAAAGCACGCGUAGGUGGUUUUGUAAGUUGGAGGUGAAAUCCCCGGGCUCAACCUGGGAACUGCCUCCAAAACUGCAUGACUAGAGUACGGUAGAGGGUAGUGGAAUUUCCUGUGUAGCGGUGAAAUGCGUAGAUAUAGGAAGGAACACCAGUGGCGAAGGCGACUACCUGGACUGAUACUGACACUGAGGUGCGAAAGCGUGGGGAGCAAACAGGAUUAGAUACCCCUGUAGUCC
rnacentral:rRNA from 1 species